UUAAUAGCAUACUCAUUUGACGUUAGCUGCAGAAGAAGCACCGGCUAACUCCGUGCCAGCAGCCGCGGUAAUACGGAGGGUGCGAGCGUUAAUCGGAAUUACUGGGCGUAAAGCGCAUGCAGGUGGUUUGUUAAGUCAGAUGUGAAAGCCCGGGGCUCAACCUCGGAAUUGCAUUUGAAAACUGGCAAACUAGAGUACUGUAGAGGGGGGUAGAAGUUUCAGGUGUAGCGGUGAAAUGCGUAGAGAUCUGAAGGAAUACCGGUGGCGAAGGCGGCCCCCUGGACAGAUACUGACACUCAGAUGCGAAAGCGUGGGGAGCAAACAGGAUUAGAAACCCCUGAUAG
rnacentral:rRNA from 1 species